UACGUAGGGUGCAAGCGUUGUUCGGAAUCAUUGGGCGUAAAGCGCGUGUAGGCGGUCAGGCAAGUCGAAUGUGAAAUCCCUCGGCUCAACCGAGGAAGUGCAUACGAAACUGCCUGGCUAGAGGACGGUAGAGGAAGGUGGAAUUCCUAGUGUAGAGGUGAAAUUCGUAGAUAUUAGGAGGAACACCGGUGGUGUAAACGGCUUUCUGGACCAUAACUGACGCUGAGGCACGAAAGCGUGGGUAGCAAACAGG
rnacentral:rRNA from 1 species